rnacentral:rRNA from 6 species
CAAAUGAUUGGGGUGAAGUCGUAACAAGGUAGCCGUAUCGGAAGGUGCGGCUGGAUCACCUCCUUUCUAAGGA